AUGCCUGCCCAGGCUAAGUUGUUGGUUUGUUCAGCUGUCCAUGACUCUUGGAAAGCAAUGAGCCACUUUUGUGUCUCUGUUUUGCCCAGACAGACUCAAAGGGGAGCCAGAACACCAUUCUACUGCAUCAUCUCGUUGUGCAAGGAUAGUGUAGGCAUAGCUGGCAGAGAGCUGGGCUCAGAACUUUGCUGGCAACGAAUACGUCACGUUGGGAAACAGGCUUACGGAGGAAGACAACGUGGUGUCAGCAGAGGAAGGGGGUGACAUGCUCCCCUCCGGUUGAGCGAGAGCAAGCAGAAUGUCUGGAGAGAGCUCCUCAAGCAGGCGUGAGAUGAAAAGAAGAGCUGAGCAGCUGUGCAAAACACAGCACAAAGAAAGGCAAGAAGAGGAGGGAGGAAGGCAGAGAUUCCCCAGAGACCAGAGAAGCAGGCGAUGUAUAAUGAAUCUAUUGACAUGCGCAACACGUGUAGUGCACCCGUAAGAAUUACGAUAGUCCAACAGGCUGAGUAGUGCAAACCUGAACAAUGCGAACAUUAUUUUUUUUUCAUAAGACUGACUAAACACAGUACCACAAACUGGGUGGCUUUGAACAACUGGAAUUAUCUCCUUUGUGGUUCUGGAGGCAGGAAGACUGAGAUCAAGGAGCUGACAGGGCUGGGUCCCCCUGAAGACUGGAAGGAGAGCUCUACUCUGCCUCCCAGACCGUGGCAGCUGCCGGCCAUGCUUAGCUCUCCUUGGCUUGUAGGUGCUGCACUUCGACCUCUGCUUCUGUCUUCUUGUGAUUUUCUUUCCUCUCAGUGUCUGCGUCCAAAUCUCCUGCUUUUUAUGAGAACAACAGUCACUAGUUUAGGGUCCAUCCUUUCAGAACUUGAUUACUUCUGCAAAGAUGCUUUUUCCAAAUAAGGUCACAUUCACAGGCAUCCAGAGAUCGGAACUUGAACAUGACUUUUCAGGGGACUCAGUUCAACCCACAAUAAGGACUUACAAGAAUUGGAGAGGAAGAGAAAGAGAGAUGGAGACAGUAUAAGAAUGCCAGUACCCUGGUCUUACUUUGGAAGGAGACAGGUGAAACUCUGAAAUUGAGAAUAUAGCAG
rnacentral:lncRNA from 1 species